rnacentral:rRNA from 1 species
CCUACGGGAGGCUGCAGUGAGGAAUAUUGGUCAAUGGGCGCGAGCCUGAACCAGCAAAGUAGCGUGAAGGAUGACUGCCCUACGGGUUGUAAACUUCUUUUAUAAAGGAAUAAAGUGAGGCACGUGUGCCUUUUUGUAUGUACUUUAUGAAUAAGGAUCGGCUAAAUCCGUGCCAGCAGCCGCGGUAAUACGGAGGGUCUGAGCGUUAUCCGGGUAUAUUGGGUGUAAAGGGAGCGUAGUUGGGUUGUUAAGUCAGUCGUGAAAGUUUGCGGCUCAACCGUAAAAUUGCAAUUGAUACUGGCAGUCUUGAGUACAGUUGAGGUAGGCGGAAUUCGUGGUGUAGCGGUGAAAUGCGUAGAUAUCACGAAGAACUCCGAUUGCGAAGGCAGCUUACUAAACUGCCACUGACAUUGAUGCUCGAAAGUGUGGGUAUCAAACAGGAUUAGAUACCCGAGUAGUC